GGCCUACGGGACGCAGCAGUGAGGGAUAUUGGUCAAUGGGGGAAACCCUGAACCAGCAACGCCGCGUGAGGGAAGACGGUUUUCGGAUUGUAAACCUCUGUCCUCUGUGAAGAUAAUGACGGUAGCAGGGGAGGAAGCUCCGGCUAACUACGUGCCAGCAGCCGCGGUAAUACGUAGGUGGCGAGCGUUAUCCGGAAUGAUUGGGCGUAAAGGGUGCGCAGGCGGUCCUGCAAGUCUGGAGUGAAACGCAUGAGCUCAACUCAUGCAUGGCUUUGGAAACUGGAGGACUGGAGAGCAGGAGAGGG
rnacentral:rRNA from 1 species